GCCGCCGCCCCCCGCGCCGCCGCAGGACACGUACUCCAGAUAUUCUUCCAUAGAAAUGAUUCAUACUAACUAUAGAAAACAGUCAAGAUACUUUGCCACAAGAUCUAGGACAAGAGGACUCAGCAAUCUUUCCCACCUUGCAGAUCUCCUGGGGACCCUUCACCUGCUUCUGCAACUACAAAUGAUUGGACAUUCAUUUACCUUGGCUAUUCCUUCACGUGUGCAAACCUUUUGUUCACUGUGCAUCACGCUGGACCUGGCCUGAAAUUUCUGAAAGAAGGGCCAACAUAAUGCCAAGAACUCUCAGAUGAAGAGGACCUUUCUAGAUCUGUAACUGGGAUUAAUCAAUUCUUCAGGAGGAAAUUUCAACUAAUUCUCAAGAUAAAUCAAAAUAGUCCUCUGACUGUCCUUUAAAUACUGAAGGUGUAAACAAGUGUCUGACUUCGCCUGGUCAAGCAGAGAAACACUUUUUAGUAGAAGUUGGGUUCCGUCUUUGUUAUUCAAACAUACACCCACACACAUCCUCUUCACACUACCCAAAUGAAAAACCUCAACAGAUGGAGAGCCUAGGCUCCCAAGCCUGCUGGCUGAGAAGAUGCACUUCACUCAAGGGUCAAUCAGCUGGUAAAGAAUGGGAAGGGAGAAGGGAGAAGCUAGCUAGUAUAGGUAGUCUCCAUCUUUUAAAACUGUUCAGCAAGGUUAGCAGCCUCUGGGGCCCGGAAAACCAAUUUGGCUGAUGUGUCUCUGAUAGGGACUAGGCUUGAGGCUGUAUACCAAGGGGAAAGUACUCACUCUAUGUUCUCCCCCUAUCUCUCAUUUGAAAGCCUGUACAAAGAAAUGGUACAAAUGGAUGGUUAACUUAACGAUUCCAUCAGAGGUGGAUUUUUCUCUGUCAGGUCCCUGGAUGAAGCUGAGGUCUGAAAGCCAGGAGGCAGAAUACGUACUUAAUCGCCCUUUCUUAUUGCCUUGCCAGGGGCCAGUCAGAACUACCAGUACUCCUCAGGCCUUUCCUCUGCAACUUCCCCACCCCUAUGGCUAGCUCAAUUGAGUCUCCCCCCAUCACUCCAAGCUAGGUCCUAACUUUUUCCUGGUAACCGGGUGACGCCCUUGGUCUGCCUAAAUCCCUCUCCCUACUGCCACCUCGCAUUUUGCAGACUGUUCCUGCUGCCUCACCUCCACGUCGAUUUAAUUCACACUUGAUUUGACAGAAUGACUUCCACUCCCCAUCCACCCACCCAGGCUUGAGACCCUAAACCCUUUCUUUAGGCCUCAAGAAGAUCCCCCACAACCUCCCUGAUCCCCCACCUCCCCAAAAGGGUCUCUACAAGGGAAAAAAACAGAGCCAGUAGUCAAGGUCUAAGACAAAGAGCCAUUUCCUCCCUGUGGGCAAAGGAGGUGAACCUCCCAGAGACCAAGGCCCAAAGCUAGGCCAGGCCCUUCCCCACCUCCAGUUGCCCAACCUUGCCUUUGCAUGGCCCCUGCCUCCCAGGAGCAGGUGGGGAAGCAGCUACGCACAUAAUGGUACGGCCGCUUCCCAAAGAACGGCAGCUCUGGGCGCCCUCAACCCAGCGCCCGAUAGCGAGGGCCCGCAGCCUUGAGGCCUUGGUGUGUCCCCUAUUGUCCCUGUGUCGGGCGCGCACAGGCUAGAGUGGAAGUUUGCUUCCCUGCCAACUCGCCCCUUCCCGCUGCAGAUCUUCCCCAAGAGAAGAGGCCUGGGCUCAGAGCGCCGCAGCAGGGCCGGGCUCCCCUCCCCCAACUCCUUUCUCUGCUGGGGGAGGCGCGGUGGCGGGUGCCUCCGAUAGAGCAGCUAUUGUGACCUUCCAUCGAAGAGUGGGAACCCAGCCGAGUGUGUACCGCCGGCGAUGGCGGGGG